UCCCUGGUGGCUCAGAUGGGAAAGCAUCUGCCUACCAUGUGGGAGACCCAGGUUCAAACCCUGGUUAGGGAA